AGUUUGUGAAUUAUGUUUCUUAAGAAAAAUCUCUGAACAUAUGAACUCCAUAGUGAUUUCAGUGCAUUACUGAGAGAAGCU
ensembl:snoRNA